UCGAGCUCCAGCUCCAUUCACAAAUAACUUUUGACUCAAUUCACAAAGCACUCCAUGAAGAUGAACAAUUAACCCUAGCUAACCCUAACCCUCCCUGUCUUCAUUGUGCCUCACUGUACCCUAACCCUUUUCAUUGUGCUUCACGAAGAACCCCUAACUGUGACGAAGAGCCCCUAACAGCACUCUGCAAGAACGUCGCCGGUCGCCGGCGCUCACAAUGCCUCCGUCGAAGAACCCCUAACCCUCCUUUGAGUUUCUUCGCUCUUCUCUCGCCACUCUCACCCUCAAGCUCACUGAGUCUCACCUCUCUCGCGGCUGGUCUCGCCGUCGACCUCUCUCUAGCUCUCCGGUAUAUCGCUUCUCUCGCGGGCGUUUCAGACUCAAGGUCGUCGCACUCUGUUUCCGUCACUGCUCUGUCAUCGUCGCUGCUCUAUCGCGCUCUGUCGCAAGCGAAUCACUGGAUUUCGACCCGAUCCCAAUCGGUUCCUGCUCCAAAGAGAACCAGAGCAUCUACCAACAGUUGUUUAAAUUACGCCGAUUCAGGUUGUUGAUGGAAAACUUUCUCAAACUUGCUACCUUAUGGCUCUUGAUUCAUGCUAUAAACAACUCAGUCACAAAAUUGCUUUCAUGUUAAUUGAUGUUGGAACCUGGAAGUGCUCAUUCAGUUGUGUAGGUUGCAUAAUGGAAAGUGAGGUAUCACACUAUGAUGGGACAACUUGAUUUAGUUUAGUUCCUUUUGUUCCUAUAAUAAUUCAUAGGUAAUUGAGGAUUUCAUUUAUUCUAAUAGGAAACUUAACAAGGAACAGAAUAAUGGAAGAUCAAGAGGGUGAUUACAUCAAAGAUUUGUAGCUGUAAUUACAUAUGUAUCAGUUUCUAAUUUCACACUUUGUUCUUGGAUUCAUUUCUUUCUUCCCCCAAUUCCGUGACAUUUUUUUUAAUUUAUUCCAAGUCGAACUUUGCUCCAUGGUUUUUCCAUUCUUUGUUUCUCUGUAGAUUAAUAACUUUGGAUGUAUAAUCUGCUUACUGCAGUUAAAACAUAGGGGCCACAUCCACACGGACAAGGGGUUCCAUCUUCACCUGCUGCUCUAGAACCUGCUACUCUUGUUCCUCUUCAGCUUUUAAAGUCAAGUGGAACUAAAUGCAUAAUGGUUGGUGACCCAAAGCAACUUCCUGCAACUGUCCUCUCAAAUAUUGCGAGUAAAUAUCUUUACGAGUGUAGCAUGUUUGAACGUUUACAAAGGGCAGGGCAUCCUGUUAUCAUGCUUACUGAGCAGUUAACAUGGUCAAAUGUAUCUAUUCAAGCCGAAGGCUUGCCAUGGUGUAGAUUUCCUUUCCUGGUUCCGAUGAGAGAUCUUGUGUGGUUUUCUCUUCAUGGGAAGCCCAAA